CAGACAUUUGAGGGGUUCAGAACACCCACCCCAAACACACCGCUCUGGCAAGUGACUGUCCUGCACAGGAAGCAGUCUCUCUGGGAGCCCCUGGCCGCCCAUCUGCCUCAGCCUCGUCACAGCCCCACGAUGGCUCUUGCUUUGUGUAAAAAAAGGCACACGCACUUUGGGGCCUGAUGGCUUCUUCAGGGGUUCAUUUUUCUUCUGAAGAUUCCUGUGGACACGUAAAAAUUCUAAGUAAGUGUUUGCUGUCCUCCUGUUGAGCUGUGUGUGUCAGCUUAAUUCUGCGUCUGGCUGCAGGACUAGGAGGGCGGGGGGAGUCUUUGUCCUCCCUUCAGUCGCCGGCCGGGACCCCUUUGGCUGGUGGCUCCGAUCCCGGAGCCGGGCUCUCCCCGUGCAAGGAGUACACUACAUCCGCAGCCAGGAAGGGACCCCCGUUGUCCACAGGGAGGGAUGGGGGCAUCACGCCAAGACAAAUGAGCCGGACACAGAACAGCGCCGUGUGGCCUCACCUACCUGGGCAUCAAAAAUGGUCCCACUCAGAGCCAGAGCAGCGGGGUGGUUGCAGGGGCCGGGGCGGAGACGGGGAGAGAGAUGUCUGUGCAACACGCUUCCAGUUAAAAGGUAAGUAGGUCCUGGGGUCCCAGGCCCCAUGACGCGUGGUGGCUGUGGUUAAUACCGCCGUUUUGUAUCCUUGAACUUUUCUCAGAGAGGAGAUUUAAAUGUUCUGAUCAAGAGAAAGAACAAGGUAACUGUGUGAGGCGGCGAGCGUGUUAAUUAGCUCGACGUGGUGAACGUUGCAGAAGCGUUCCCGUGCAAGACACCACGUCGCUCCUCACGUACAGUUUCCACUUGUCAGUUACGCCUCAGUGAAGCCGGGCAAGAUAAAUACAUUUUUUACUUUAUUAAAAAA